rnacentral:rRNA from 1 species
CCUACGGGAGGCAGCAGUGGGGAAUUUUGGACAAUGGGCGCAAGCCUGAUCCAGCAAUGCCGCGUGAGUGAAGAAGGCCUUCGGGUUGUAAAGCUCUUUUGUCAGGGAAGAAACGGUGAGCUCUAAUACAGUUUGCUAAUGACGGUACCUGAAGAAUAAGCACCGGCUAACUACGUGCCAGCAGCCGCGGUAAUACGUAGGGUGCAAGCGUUAAUCGGAAUUACUGGGCGUAAAGCGUGCGCAGGCGGUUUUGUAAGUCUGUCGUGAAAUCCCCGGGCUCAACCUGGGAAUGGCGAUGGAGACUGCAAGGCUAGAGUUUGGCAGAGGGGGGUAGAAUUCCACGUGUAGCAGUGAAAUGCGUAGAUAUGUGGAGGAACACCGAUGGCGAAGGCAGCCCCCUGGGUCAAAACUGACGCUCAUGCACGAAAGCGUGGGGAGCAAACAGGAUUAGAUACCCUGGUAGUCCACGCCCUAAACGAUGUCUACUAGUUGUCGGGUCUUAAUUGACUUGGUAACGCAGCUAACGCGUGAAGUAGACCGCCUGGGGAGUCGGGUCGCAAGAUUAAAAACUANAAANAGUAAGUGAGGCUGAGCGACGACGACGACGACGACGGAGGGAGGAGG